CCGAUAUUAACAAAGUGUGCCCGGCUCCGUUACAAGUGAAGGGAUCUGAUGGAAGCGUAAUUGCGUGCAAGAGCGCUUGCUUAGCAUUCAACCAGCCAAAAUACUGUUGCACUCCACCUAACGACAAGCCGGAGACAUGCCCUCCCACUGAUUACUCUAAGCUCUUCAAGACCCAGUGCCCUCAAGCUUAUAGCUAUGCUUAUGAUGACAAGAGCAGCACCUUCACAUGCAGUGGUAGACCUGACUACCUCAUCACAUUCUGCCCAUAAGCAUAUAUAUAUAUAUAGAAUGGGAUCUUAUAUGAUAUGAUAUUAUACAUAUAGUUCCCAAUAAAUAAAUUUCCUGGAUCUUGACACAUUGUUGAUGUCAAGAAUUUGUAAUGCAGACGAUCAAAUAACGUAAAUGUUUGGAUUUUAUUUUCGUUCAUGGCUUUCAAAUUUUUGUUUCCUUCAUUUCUUUAUAUGAUGCAUUAUUUCCAGCAACAAAACAUGAGCAUAAUAUAAAGAGAGUUAGCUGCAAUUGAAAUGGUUAUCAAACGGGAGUUUAAAUACGGAUUGUAAUUUUCUGUCAUGCCUGGUGUUGAUGCGAAAAAGUGGUUUGAUACGUAAUUCGUCAACUUAGUCAAAAUGUCCCUUCGGUAGGUCCCCGUCCUUGGUAAGUGGUCCACUCCAGAGGGUCAAGUACCUGCAAAAGGACGCGUUCGGUAAAUCCUUGGGGUACCGGUGCGGUACCGGCCGAAGGCUCUCCGAUGCCUAAAUGAGUACGGAUUUAGUAAGGUUAACUGACAGAUCACACGAUAGCGUACCGUUAGUUCUUCUUCUUCCCUUUUGGGGAUAUGGGUCUCCUUAUAUAGACCUUGGGAGGUGUGCUUUGUGCUCAUUUUUCCGAUGUGGGACUCCAAGCAUGGAUUGUGAACAUGACACGUGUCUGUUGGUAAAAAGGGCCAAGAUAUAUAGCUUCGGUAGUGAGCAUGCCGUAGGGGCCCUGUGAUCAGAGUGGAUCCUGUCCACGUGUCCGGUGGAAAUAGGCCGUUUAAUUAGGUAUAAACAGUAGUCCCUCAAGUUCUCUUUCGAAGGUUCUUCGGAAGGGAAUUUGGUUUUCCUUGGUAGUUCGGAGGUUCUCCUGCCGUUCGGCAUGCUCAUUUGGGGGGAGGAAAGGCGCUUGAGUUGUUCCUUUCGGAAAGUAGUGUUCUGGGAAAAUCGGUCGGGGACUUGAAGGGUCGCCAAUGUUGAGAGGCGAGAGGGCAGAGAGACGCUUCGUCUUCCGUGCCUGGCGCGCAGAUAGAGGCGCCAUUUGCCGGGUGACGCGUGGCCAGCAAUAACACGCCUGUUGGUGCAUUAAUGAGCCGUUUCGUCUCCCGAGGCGUACCGUUACAGUUCUCCCUCUAUAAAUAGAGGUUGCUCUGUAUGAAAAAAUUCACUUUGCAAUUGUGAGUUUGCGCGAGAGCUCUUGAGUAGGCGAUUUUUGAAGUGUGCGAACGGCAAGCAAGGCGAUUUUCGAAGCGUGCGAACGGUAAGCUAGGCGAUUUUCGAAGCGUGCGAACGGCAAGCUAGGCGAUUUUCAUAGCACUCAAGGUAAGAUACCGUUCGGUACCCCUGAAUUUUGUUAUACUUCUGUAUAUGGCAUAGGCUCGCCGAUCGUUAAGUAGGAUCUUCCUUCGGUAGUCUAGUGGCCAUAGGUAGAGAAGUAGGUAUCUGUAGGAUAGCGCAGCACGCACCUUAGUUUUUCCCUUUUUCUUGUUUUGUAGAUGUCCGAUAGCGAGUCACCGUUCGGCGAUGAGCCCAACGCUUUCGACGGGGAGCUAUCUUCCGGCUGGGGUACGUCCAGCGAGGCCGUGAGCCUCGGCGCCGAGGGCGGGGAAGACUCCGAUGCCGAGCUAUUCGGUGAGGAGGCGGAUUCCAUUCCCACCCACGGCAUCGGUAAGGGGUUCAUGACGGGGCACCCGUUACCCCUGGUCGCGGUGUACAGGGACGGUACCCGUGUCGUGCCGUCUGAGCACCAGCCAGAGGCUUCCACCUCCGGCAAUGAUGAGUGUGUUGCCGGUCCCUCUCGGCCGAGAGUUACGAUCGUCCACCGAGAGCGGUAUAGGAUACCGGUGGGCAUACCGCAGAAGACCCUGUUCGGGGUUGAUUAUUUGGGGCCGAACAAACUUACCGAACGGGAGCUUCAAAAGAUUAGGGCCGAAUACCUCAUUCCUGACUCGGUGAAGAUGAGGGUCCCGAGCCCGGUCGAGUCCCUCAGCGACCCUGGGGAUGGUGAAGUCGUCUUCUUCACCGAUAUGCUGGUGCAGGGGGUCAGGUUGCCGUUGCAGCCUGCCGUUCAGAAGUUACUUGCCCAGAUUGGGUAUGCCCCGGGCCAAUAUAACCCCAACUUUUGGGUGGCCCUGAUGGGGGUGAUAACGGCCUUUGGGAUUGCCGGGGAGGGGGAGCCUUCCUACGAGCAAUUCUCCUACCUCUACAGCGUCACUAAGUCGAAGAGUGCCGACCAUGGUGGCUGGGUUCAGGCGAACUGCCUGAAGGCUUCCGAGCGAGGUCACUUCGUCAGCUCGGUGCCGACUUCCCAGAAGUCGUGGAGGAAUCGGCGGGUGCUACUCUCUGGCCAAUGGGAAUCGCCAUCAGGAGUACGCCCGCAGUCCCCAGUACCAACGACUUUCCAAACCGCCGGUAGGUCCCUAGUUACCGAUCGGCAGGUCCCUAGUUGCCUUUCUGUUUUCUUUUUAUAUUUGCUCACUCAUUCUUUAUUCGGACAGGCAAACUCAAGCAGCCGACUCCUACACAAGACGAGAUUCGGCAGAUCGACAGGGUGAGGCUGAAGGUCCCUGCCGCCGAGCGAGUGUACCCGCGCUUCCUUUUCACCAAUAAUCUCAUCAGAGCCGGGCUCGUCGACCCUGCCGAGAGUAAGUGUACUUGUUGCGCUUUUCUUCCUCUUCUCUUUUUUUGUGUGCUUGCCGACUGACUGAUUGUUUUUGGCCAGUGACGGACGCAAGGAGGGCUGCCGAGGCCAAGAAGAUGAACGAAUCUUCCAGGAGGCGCCUCAUGAUGGGCCUCGAGGGCAAGAAGAAAAAGAAGCAGCUCGAGGCCCCUGCCGUUCGGUCGUCGACGGACCCCGAGGAGGUGACCCUCGCUGAGCGUAUGCGGCAGUUGGGCGCUGAGCCUGUCGCAAGGCCGGCUGUCGAUCCCCAUGCGCCGAGGCAUGCCGUCGCCGAUGCCGUCGCCUCAAGGGCUGCCGGGAAGCGGCCGAUAACGGUGGAUUUGGAAACUUCUCCGGCGUCCAAGCGAAGCCGUCCGUCAGACGCUUCCAGGGCCGUCUUUGCGGCGGAGGACGAGGAUGGGCCUACCGAGGCCGUCACUCUCGCCUGCCCCUCGAAGACGGUGCAAUUCGUCAACCAUAUGAUCCUCGGUUCUCAGAUGGAGCUGCCGGAGGUUGACGAGUUGCCGAAGAAGGUUCUUCGGGAGCAGGCUGGACGCGCCUUCCGACUGCAAGCAGCAGUAAGAAUUUAUCUCCCGGUGUUGUCCUUUCAUUAUUUUUUUUUCGGUGCCAAGUGGGGCUUCAAACUAUCUUCCUCGUGUGCAGGCGUCCAUGGAGAUGUGGCUGUGUGUCAAGCGGGCCAUCUCCGCUGCCGAACGGGCAAAAAAGGACUAUGACGACGGCAGGGCUAAGGUUGCCGAGGCUGGAAAGGCUAUCCAGGACCACGCCCAGCUGCUAAAGGAGAAAGAGGCUGCCGAACGGCGGGCUCUCACUUCGGAGGCGACGGUGGGCGAGAUGCGGGCCGAUCUGGAGGCAGCGCGGGCGGCUCUGGAGGCAGCGCGGAUGGCAGCGCGUGAUGCCGAGGCCGUCUCGGAGGCGGUUCAGGACGCUCUGCAGGAGUCCGAGCGGACCAAGGCUGCGGAGGUUGAGGCUGCCAUUCAAACGGCAAUCCAGGGAUACCGUUCUUCCGAGGAGUUCACUGUCCUCCUGGACAGGGAAGUUGGCUCCGAGAUGGCGGGUAUGUUGUACCGAUUCAAGCGGUACAACCCUGGUCAGAAGCUGAACCUCAACUUCGCUGCCGAUCCCCCUCCCCUUCCCGAGGGAAUAACUGAGGAGAUGAUCGAAGACUACGAGGGGGAGGAUGCUGCUGCUGACGAAGCCUGAGGGCCUCUGUAAUAGUUUUAGCCUGUCUUAUUUUUAUUGUUAUUUUGUAUCUGUACCGAACGCCUUGAUGCCGAGGGCAUCUUUAAAUUAGAUGUGCAUAUUUUGUCUAUUUUUGUCUUUUCGAUUUGAUUUUGUUUUAUCGCCGAUAGGAUUUAUAACGUUAUAGAAGUAGCUUUCGAAAUUGUCAAGUUUCGAUGGAAUCUGUAGGGUGACAAUUUCGAAAAUACCUCCUGCCGUAGGUUAGUAAAGAUGCCCCAGAACGUUAUCUUGCUUAUAUUGGCAGCCGUAGGCUAGUAGAGACUGUAACAAGAGUUUCUGAAGCAAUAGUGCCGAAGGCUUUCUAUUUAUCUUUGCCGAAAGGCAUUUACAAUUUUGUCCUACCGUAGGCUAGGUUGCAACUCUGUCCUGCCGUAGGCUAGGUUACUUGAAAUAGUACUUGAGAUGUUCCACGUUCCAAGGAUGACCGAGGGUCUUGCCGUUGGAGUCUCUUAGGCGGUAGGUUCCCGAUCGAAGGAUACCGAUGAUCUCGUAAGGUCCUUCCCAGGAAGGUCCGAGGGUUCCUUCCGUGGCAUCCUUAGUUGCUAGGGACACCUUCCUCAUGACCUAAUCACCGGCUCGGAAUGAACGGUGUCUGAUUCUGGAGUCGUAAUACCGAGAGACGCGUUGCUUGUAGGCUUCGUUUCGAAGGUUGGCAUGUGCUCGGUGCUCUUCCAGGAGGUCGAGGCUUAGAGAAAGUGCUGCUUCAUUUGGCUCUGGUGCGAAGGUUUCCGUUCGGUAGGAAGGUUCGCCAAUUUCUACCGGCACAACGGCUUCCGAACCGAAAGCCAAAGAGAAAGGGGUUUCUCCUGUGGACGUUCGGUAAGAGGUCCGAAUGGCCCAGAGCGCUUCGGGAAGCUUUUCUGGCCAGGCUCCUUUGGCUUUGUCCAGCUGCCGUUUUAGCAGUUUCUUGAUGAUUUUGUUUAUCGCUUCUACCUGACCGUUCGACUGGGGAUGGGCCGGUGAUGCGAAAAACAAGUUGAUCUUCAGGCGGGUGCAAAAGUGCCUGAAGAGUUCCGAAUCGAACUGCCUGCCGUUGUCGGUGAUGAUUGCGUACGGGAUACCGAAACGGCAACAAAUGUGAGUCCAGACGAAGUCCUCUACUCUUGCUGCCGUUAUGGUUGCAAGAGGUUCGGCCUCCACCCAUUUGGUGAAGUAGUCGACGGCAACCACAGCGUAUUUCACCUGGCCUUUACCUUGUGGCAUCGGACCGAUCAGGUCUAGCCCCCACUGUGCGAAAGGCCAAGGACUCACGAUCGGUGUCAAGGGUUCGGCGGGGAUAUGCUGUAUGUUGCCGAAACGCUGACAUUUAUCGCAUUUCUUCACAAGUGAAUUGGCGUCCUGGUGCAUGGUCGGCCAGAAGUAUCCCUGCCGAAAGGCUUUGUGUGCGAGUGACCGGGACCCAGAGUGAUCGCCGCAAACACCAUUGUGGAUUUCCCGGAGAACGUAGCUCCCCUGCUCUGCCGUAAGGCACUUGAGAUACGGAGUCGUGUAGCCACGUUUGUAAAGGACGUCGUUGAUGACGGUGUACCUUGCCGAUCGGUAUCUAAGCUUUCGGGCCUGGGCCUUGUCCUCUGGAAGGGUGCCGUUGGUUAGGUAUGAGUAGAUAGGGGACAUCCACGUAUCCUCGUACCGUACGGUACAUAUUUCGGAGGUUGCCGUGCUUGGUUGGGCAAGAAUUUCCACCGGCACCUUUCUUCCGAUUUUGUCAUUGAUUGCCGAGGCUAGUCGCGCUAAAGCAUCGGCAUGACUGUUUUCGCUCCUGGGGAUCUGUUUGAUCUCAUAGGCUCGGAAGCUCUGGAGCAGCUGGUGGGUGGACGAAAGGUAGGCGUUCAUGGAGGCGUCUCUGGCGGCGAAGUCCGCCGUUACCUGGUUCACAAUGAGUUGGGAGUCACUGUGUAUCUUGAUCUGUUUUGCGUUCAUGCUCUUGGCUAAACGAAGGCCGGCCAAGAGAGCCUCAUAUUCUGCUUCAUUGUUGGAGGUUCGGAAGUUGAAUCGGAGGGCGUACUCGAUCUUGAGUCCCUCCGGUGUUGUCAGAACCAACCCUGCUCCACACCCCUGUUGGUUUGCCGAGCCGUCGACAUGCAGAGUCCAUACAGGAUUUGAGGCGUCGAGCCGUUCGGCGUCUACCUCCAUCGGUGCCGCGGUUUCGGUAACUGGCUCGGGUAUUUCCUGUGUCGUUGGUGGGGUGAGCUCGGAGAUGAAAUCGGCAAUGGCCUGACCUUUUCGGCUGGCCUUGGCACGAAUUGUAUAUCGAAUUCUCCGAGUUCAAUCGCCCACUUGAUCAAUCGGCCGGAAGUCUCUGGUUUUUGGAGUACUUGCCGAAGCGGUUGGUUUGUCAGGACAUUGAUCCCGUGUGCUUGGAAGUAUGGCCGAAGUUUUCGUGCCGAGAUCACCAGGGCUAGUGCAAGCUGCUCUAAUGGGGGAUAUCGAAGUUCAGCGCUCUGGAGUGCCUUACUGACAUAGAAGAUCGGUAGCUCUGCCCUCUCCGGUUUUCGGAUUAACACCGAACUGACGGCAGUGUUAGAUACCGAGAGGUAUAGGUAAAGAAUCUCCCCAGGCAGUGGUUUUGACAGGAGAGGUGCUCUGCCCAUAUAGUCUUUUAAGUCUUGAAAUGCUUUAUCACAUUCGGCAGUCCAUAAGAUAUUCUGUUUGCCCCCUUUCAAGGCUUUAAAGAACGGUACACAUUUGUCGGUAGCCUUGGAUAUAAAGCGAGUCAGGGCAGCCACUCGUCCGGUAAGGCUUUGGAUGUCCUUUGUUGUUUUUGGCCUCUCCAUGUCGAUGAUGGCCUUUAUUUUUUCGGGGUUCGCUUCGAUACCCCUGUGACUAAUCAUGAAUCUGAGGAAUUUCCCGGAAGACACACCGAAGGCGCAUUUCAUCGGGUUUAACCUCAUUCGGUAGCCCUUCAGGAUACCGAACAUGAUAGACAGAUUGUGCAGGUGUUCUUCGGCUGUUCUGCUUUUCACCAACAUGUCGUCAACGUAAACCUCCAUGAUGCUGCCGAUGUGUUCGGCGAAGAUUCUGUUGACAAGCCUCUGAUAUGUUGCCCCCGCGUUCUUCAAGCCGAACGGCAUGACGUUGUAGCAGUACAACCCUCUGUCAGUGAUGAAGGCGGUGUGCUCGCUGUCGGGGGGGUGCAUAAAAAUCUGGUUGUACCCUGAAUAGGCGUCCAUGAAGCUGAGCAGCUCGUGUCCUGCCGUGGCGUCCACGAGCUGGUCUAUUCGGGGUAACAGAAAGCUGUCCUUCGGGCAGGCCUUGUUCAGAUCGGUGUAGUCUUGGCACAUUCUCCAGCCGCCUGUACCCUUUCGAACCAUGACUGAGUUCGCCAGCCAUACCGGGUACGUAACUUCCCUGAUGAAGCCGAUGGUUUGAAGUUUGUCAACUUCCGUCCGCAUGGCUUCGUACCGUUCGGCAUCAUACAAACGGCGCUUCUGCCUUACAGGUUUGUAGGUUGGGGAAAUGCUGAGUUUAUGGCUGAUGAUUUCAGGGUCUAUGCCGGGCAUGUCUUCGUAGGACCAUGCGAACACUUCCGAAUGGUGCCGUAAGAAGUCUAUAAACUGCGCUCGGAGGGCGGGGGUCAGUCUGGUACCGAUUUUAACCCGACGAUCGGGCUGUUCAUCGCUCAGGGUUAUCGUCUCCAGUUCUUCGACGGGUUGCGUAUAAGGAGUUGGUGACUCAUCUCUUGGGUCGUCAACUGGUCCGUUGCCGUUCGGCAUCCCCUGCACAGACAUGGUCUUGUCUGGGAUUUUGAGAGAGGUUGAUUUGAUCGCCGUGGCGUAGCAAGUCCGUGCGCUCAGCUAAUUUCCCCUGACAGAUCCUACGCCAUUUGGGGUCGGGAAUUUCAUCAACAGCAUGUGUGGGGAAAGAUGCGCCUUUACCCUGGUCAGUGCCGUUCGCCCAACAAUGACGUUGUACGCCGUCGGGCAGUCAACGAUGAGGAACUUGUCAUAUACCGUCGUUCUCUUUGGCGCGGUGCCGAAGGUAAUUGGGAGCGUUACGCUACCGACCGGUUGGACCAUGUCCCCGGAGAAACUUAGCAAAGGCGUCAACUGCCGGUUGACCUGGCUGUCCUGUAUUCCCAUUUCUCGGAAAGCUUCGGCGAAGAUUACGUUUACCGAGCUCCCUGUAUCAAUCAGUACUCUCCCUACAUCGUAAUCGGCAAUUUCUGCUCGGACGAUCAUUGGGUCGUCGUGGGGACAGAGAAUGCCCUGUUCCUCUUCUUUGCAAAACGUGAUCGGCUCCCAAUGAUCCUUCGGUGUUUCAUGGUGGCGAUUCACCUCUAUGCCGAACACCUGGGGAAACUGUGCGGCACGCACGUACUGCUUCAUCGAGCGAUUGCUCAGUCCUGCGAUGGUUGGGCCGCCGCUGAUAGUGCUUAUCAUGUUUAUCUGCCGAUUUGCGUUCGGCUCCGGCGCCGUUGGCUGCCGGGCGAUAUACUGGUCUAGCUUCCCCUCUCGGAUCAAGCGUUCGACGAUCUUCCUCAGGCUUAUGCAGUCUUCUGUAUUAUGGCUGUUGUGCUGAUGGUAUCGGCAGAAUUUACCGGUAUCCCGGUUGUCUUGCCGAUUGGGCCUUCGUUGAUUCGGCUUGGGUAUUUUUUCCUGUUCGUUCAUCAGGACGGCCUCGUAGGUAGUAUUCAACAGGGUGAAGACCUCAUUGCCAUGAUCCCGAUUCGGCAGGGGGGCUCGGUUGUCGUUGCGACUGUACCUCCCUUUUUCUUUCUUUGGGUGCUCCCUUCGAUCUGCACGAUCAUCCUUCCUCUUAUGACCUGCCGAGUAGGUGUCGACUCGCUCAUAAGGCGUUGCCCUUGCCGGAUAGGCACUUGGUUCCGCAUUUCCUUGCGGUGCCGAAACCGUGGGUUUCGAGUUGAAGUAUUCGGCCUUGGCGUGGAUUGCUGCCUGCUUCAUCAGUUCAUCGUACGUGCGCCAGUUGCUACUGUGCACCAGGUAUCGAAAAUGAGAGGACCGAAGGCCACUCUUGAAGGCGCCGUAGGCUGCCCUAUCAUCCGUUUCCGGACACCUUGAGUACUCGUGACUGAAACGCGCCGCGUAUUCUCUCAACGGUUCGUCCUCCCUUUGCCGAAUCGUGUACAGAUCAUCGGCGGAGUAGAGACGGUCCGUUUGGAUUAUGAAGUGAUUGAGGAAGAUCUGCUUCAGCUCAUCAAAGGAUGCUACCGUUUCCGGCUCUAAACGGUAGAACCAGUUCAAGGCUGCCCCGGUAAGGGAAGACGGGAAUAGCAGGCACUGCCCCUCAUCGCUCAAGCCCUUGCAUCCAAUAGCGGACUGGAAUGAAUGGAGGUGUGUCAAAGGGUCCUCCGUUCCUGUGUAGAACGUUAUACGCAGUUGCUGCACUUCCCUGUCUUGCCGAGAAUCCCGGAUGCGCCUUGUGAACGGUCCGGGCCGAAGCUUUCCCCAUUCCGGUUCUUGGGAGCGCGCAUUGUCGUUUUCCAUUUUCUGGACCUUCUGAAAAAGGAGUCGGAUCAUGGGGUCUCGGCUAGGGACUUCUUCGGAACCGUAAUCUUCCGAUUGUCUUUGUAGGUUUAGUGAAUUAUCCCCCGCAUACCGCGAUGGUGUUUCCGAACGGUAGUCGGGGGGAAGUGUCUUGGAAGGGAUGUACUCGGACUCCGAAGACUCGGCGGGGCCCAAUCCCCUGACCUUCCGAAUAGGCGACUUAUCCCCUAGGUUAUUCAUCCGUGAUUCCCUUAUUCGAGCGCCAAUCCUGAUCGGUGACCCCUCUCUCUCUGGCUCCCGAUCGUUAGUGCGAUGCUCCCGGUCGUUAAUCCGAUGUCGGCAAUCGGUGUAGACCUUCCUUGGGAUGUGCGGCUGAUCCCGGGGUGCCGGAACCACUAACUCUCUGGAAGGUGCGGGCGUUGCCUUCGCUACCUUCGCGCGUUUGUUCUUCCCGCGGGGGUUCUGCAAGCUCUCGGAAGAGCGAGUUGUCUGUAUGUUCUGCGGUUGCUGCUGGUGAAGCAACUGCUGGGUUUCGUCCACUUUGGACGAAAGGAAGUUGUUGUGUUCCUGAAGCCUCGCCAUGUCCUUCCGUAAGGAUGCGAUUUGGGCUGCCAUCUCGACUUCGGCAGCCGUUUGGGUAGCGGGGGCAUUUCCGAAGGGAGUGUUGGAGGUAGCGCUGGGCUAGCUCCGCUCUGCCUUCCGAACGGUACCCCCUCUUCCGCUAGGAACGUUUGUUUUGAAGUGGUCCCCAUGUGCUUAGGGGAUUGUGGGUUGAUGAUUUUUUGGUUUCCCACAGACGGCGCCAAACUGUUGAUGCGAAAAAGUGGUUUGAUACGUAAUUCGUCAACUUAGUCAAAAUGUCCCUUCGGUAGGUCCCCGUCCUUGGUAAGUGGUCCACUCCAGAGGGUCAAGUACCUGCAAAAGGACGCGUUCGGUAAAUCCUUGGGGUACCGGUGCGGUAUCGGCCGAAGGCUCUCCGAUGCCUAAAUGAGUACGGAUUUAGUAAGGUUAACUGACAGAUCACACGAUAGCGUACCGUUAGUUCUUCUUCUUCCCUUUUGGGGAUAUGGGUCUCCUUAUAUAGACCUUGGGAGGUGUGCUUUGUGCUCAUUUUUCCGAUGUGGGACUCCAGGCAUGGAUUGUGAACAUGACACGUGUCUGUUGGUAAAAAGGGCCAAGAUAUAUAGCUUCGGUAGUGAGCAUGCCGUAGGGGCCCUGUGAUCAGAGUGGAUCCUGUCCACGUGUCCGGUGGAAAUAGGCCGUUUAAUUAGGUAUAAACACCUGGUAAGGAAUAAGCAUGGCUAUUUACGAAACUAUAAUAUGAACAACACUGAGAAACACAAGUAUGGCCAUUUCAAACAGACUACAAAUAACUUCGUAUUCCAACAAUGAAUCAACAGCACCCAUGGCCAUAUACGUUUGCAGCAUCUGAAGGUAGAUCAUCUAAUUAAUGUUAGAAGGAUAAUAGUUUCUAAAGUUCUUUAUUAAAAAAAUCAAUAGACAACCACCAGAGACAAAUUUUGUUUUGGAGAAGAUGAUUAUUCUCAAUUCUUGACAGCUGCAUAAUGCUAAAAUAUGAAUAUGGUUUGAAUACUUUACUUUAGGUUAGUUGUAUUCUUCUUCAUAAAGAGGUAUAUAUGAGUUUACAAGGUGCUUUAUAAGGAAAUAGAUACAGUUAAUUACCAUGGUAUACAAAGUGACUUAGAGACAAAAACUCAGAGACCGACUUGACUUUCACCAUGCGGCUUCUGGAAGUGCAAAUGAACCAUGCACAAGACUUUUAGAGUGAGCUCUUUGGACGUGGACUUGUUAAAACAUGAAAGGUUUUGUGUUGAUUUUUCUCAAUCAUACAAUCCGUUAAUAUACAAAUUUAUGUACACGAACACUACUAAGGAAUGCAAAGACUUUAAGAUCAUACAAACUACAAGUACUUGUUGAGAGUAUUUAGUCCAUGUUUUUUUUUUAAAAAAAUGCAGACAUUCAUUUUGUAUUUUAUUUUCCGUUCAUGUUUUUUUAUGGUUUAUCAAACUCAUAUAAAUAUGAUACAUAAAGCAAAAAAUAGAGAGAGAAUAGUAAAACAUUCAAAAAAUUAAAAAUUGUUCUUACUUCAUUUUUUUUUGUUGGAAUGCAUUUAUUACACAUUGAAACUUUUCAUUAAAUAAGCAUAAUAUAGUAAAUAUAUAUAUAUAUAUAUAUAUUAGAUGGGGACCUAUUUUCUUGGGACACAACUUGACAGGACCCGAUCCAAAUUCCACUUUGGAAUCCGAGCCAUACCCUGUGUGUGUCCGACACUUGGCGAAUGUCGUUUUCCGGCGAGCUCCGGCCACGGAAACUCCGACGAAGGGUCAGAAAAUGACGGCGGUCGAGUGGUGGUUCGUUUGGUACCAACGGCGGAGAUCGGCUCCAAGCGUGGUGGCCGUGGCGACGAUGAGAAGGGAGGAAGGUCGGCUGGCGCGGGCUGAUCGGGAGGAGAGAGAGAAAAGAGAGAAAUUGAUGGGGGAAGAAAGAGAGAGAGAGAGAAACAGGUUUUAUAAAUCUAAUUUUCCAAUUUACCAUUUUCCCCCUCAUGAUAUUUUAAUCGUAUUGUCUUCAUGAAAAUUCCGAUUUGAGCUUACUUCGUGUCUAUGAACUCGUGUCGUCGUGCUCUACGGAACGGUGUAUGGGGAAUUGUCAAAUUCCUUUUCGGUCAAAAAGUCAACUUUGAGUUCAUAAGGUAGUCAAAGGGCAAAAUUGUCUUUCCGUAUAAUAAAUUACUCAUUAAAUAUGAAUUUUAGGUUUGGGUCAUUACACAACUUCUUUAUCUUUUUUUUUAGUUGGAUUCUUAAUUCUUAAAUUAAAAAAACGAAAAUAAAAAACCAAUUGGCACCAAGGUAGUAUAUAUGAAACAUCGUCAGAAAUUAAAUUUUUUUUUUUUUGAAAUGUUCAUAAAAACAAACAAACAAAAAUAUAUACAUACAUUAACAAAAAAAAUAAUUUUCAAAAUAAAUGCACAGUGCCCAAGGAAACUCCUUAUAUAAUGUAUGUCUCUUGAAAAUUGUCAACAAAUCCGCUGUAGCAAUACUUACAAAUGGAUAAUUGUAAUCCGGGUUCGAAUCCCGACAGUGGAAUUCUUUUUAAGUUAGAUGUAUGACAGGAUUCGCCCCAAAUUCCUCGGAACCCGAAAUGAAUCCUGUGAAAUUCCGACAUCACCCCGAUGCCGGGCCCACUUAUUAAAGACCAAGACUUUCUACCAAAAUUUUGGCAGAGUCUCCCCUGUAAUUUGAACAAUCCCAAAAAUUUCAACAUGCAUAAAAUACAUGUCAUAUCCCAACAAGCAGCACGCACAAUAUAAUUUCAUGCAAUUCACAAACUCGACCUUAGGCCCUCACAUGAACCGAAGCGAAACCAAACUACCAACAAAGCCCUUACGCCAAAAAUAUUGCCUUAAUAUGGUAUAACAACACCCUUAAUUCAUCUCUCUAUACGCCUGAAAUUCCAACGCUACGUAUGAGGUCUGUCUCAACGCCGAAAAAUCCUACGCCACGCGAGACCUAACAAAUCACAUAAUCUCCUCAUACGCCGAAAAUUCUAACGCCACAUAUGGGGUCUGUCAUCAUUGAUUUAGGAUAUUAUCUUGAGAGAUAUUAUCAUCAAUUAGUGAUUUAAUCCCAAUCAAAUUGUUAAUUGACUUAAUCUCUCCAUUUAAGGGAAAAAAUAUCUUCCUUCAAAAUAAGAAGAUAUUCGUUGAAAAUCUCUUCAUUUAGGUAAUUCUGAAACGUAGCAAGAAUUCCCCAAAACCUCUCUCUCUCUCUCUCUCUCUCUCUCUCUCUCUCUCUCUCUCUCUCUCUCUCUCUCUCUCUCUCUCUCUCCGCCCUAGCCGACGGCCUCUCUCACUCUUAUCUCUCACACACGGCCAAGUGCCACCACACACGGCUUUGGCCACUCGACUCUCCCCGUGAGAAAAAGCUCCGUACCAUUUUUAGCUAUUGCAACAUAUUUUCUCCUAUUGCCACAUAUUUUCUCAAAGAUCCAAUCGAACUAACUUAGGCAUCGGAGAGAUUUUGACGAACACCUACCAGGUGUGGUUUUUUACUCUUGUUUGUUUCGCAGUAACCGAGCAAGAGAGAGAAGGAAGCUCAAAAAGUGAAAGAUCCACAUGCGAAUAUUCUUCCUUGAGAAAUUUGCAUAAACAGAAGACGUGUGACAUAUUCUUGGUUCAAAAAUAUCCAUCCGAAACAAGGAAAAAAUUGUAAAACCAAACUUAAGAAAUUAUACCUCUAUUCUGGUCAGCAUGAAUGGAUAUGUCCAAACAAAUUUUAAUCCAACAAGAAAAAUCAGAGGAGAAGGUUUAGGGUUUCACAAACAGAUCUACCAAGUAAAACGAAUUAACAUAUGAUAUGGGCAAAAUAAAGAAAUGAGACCAAGAUAAAACUUCUAGAAAGGUGACAAAUUGUCCUUUGAAGUAAUUUUACGUAAGCAUAACAAUUCGAAAUAAAAGAUAAACAAACAAAAAUCCUAUGAAUGGAUGGGACGAGGAAAAUUGAAGCUGACAAUAAAGGUUACUAACUUACUUGGGAUGUAUCCAAAGAAAAAAAAAAACAUGAAGGGAAAUACUAGUUUUCCUUCCUUGUUUUACUUUUCUCCCUCAUUAAUUGUACUUGGCUUUAGCUCCAUGCAUCUUCUCCUCCUUCACGGCAGCUUGGCCCAUCAAUCACGCUAUGAAAACGGCAUUUUUCCAUUUCUUCCAGUCUGGCUACUUUGACAUUUCUUGGGUUUCAUUAUCUAAAUUAAUAUCUAGUACUUGUUUUUUUAUGUACUCGUGCCAAUAUUCAAAGUACCUGCUAUCAUAAAUAAACCUAUGUAAACAGGGACUAAACGUUUAUGGCCCGUUUCCUAGUGUUGAUGACCUAUCAUCUAAUGUUUGAGUUUAAUCCAAAUCUCUCUAGAAGUUUUUUUUUUUUCCUUUCUCUAUGAGGGUUCAAACGUGACACAUCUCGUAACUCGUCUAUAAGUUAAAGUCAAUUUCUAUUGCGCUAGAGACCCUAUUGGCCUCUAAAAGAUCUUUUAGUUACUUCUUUAUCCAAUUGAUCACUUUUUCUACUUUAAUUUUUCUGGAUUGAAUUUGAAUUUUCUGUAAUAUAUAUUUUUUUGGGAUAAUGUAAACAGGGGACUUCACUUCAUUGCAGGUCAAUGACGAUAUCUAGGAACAAUCCAUCAGUCUAGGACCAAACAUUAUGAGUCAUUUGUUAGUUUCCUCAGGGUCCUGUUUACGUGUUGCCAUGGCAGCUUAGACCCGUAAUCAAAAUCGCAAGAAAAGAUCAAAAGUUAGGCACGCUACAAGCCCUAUAUAAAGCACCCCCUGGCACCCAAGUUUAUCAUCAUCCUCCUCACCAAAUUACAAAUUAAUUAAGUUUAUCAGCAACAGCAAGCCAAUUAAGACAUUUCCAAGACGAUGAUGAAGAGCCAAGCAGCUCUCCUCGGCCUCACCACCUUGGCCAUCCUCUUCUUCUCAGGUAUAAUAUUAUACAAACUUUGUUAGUCGAUCAGAUAUCGAUCAAAAGUUUAUUUUUACAAUUGUCUCUGUAAUCUGUUUUCUUAUGAUCACGUUGAAUAUGCAGGUGCACAUGCAGCUAAAAUCACUUUCACAAACAAAUGUUCCUACACUGUCUGGCCAGGAACCCUAACCGGUGACCAAAAACCUCAAUUAUCACUCACCGGGUUCGAGUUAGCAACCGGAAUUAGCAACUCUGUGGACGCUCCGUCCCCGUGGUCCGGUCGCUUCUUUGGCCGAACCAGGUGCUCCACGGACGCGUCAGGAAAGUUCACUUGUGCCACAGCAGAUUGUGGCUCUGGCCAAGUCUCAUGCAACGGUAACGGCGCAGUUCCGCCAGCUACAUUAGUAGAAAUCACUAUUGCUGAGAACGGGGGUCAAGAUUUCUACGAUGUUAGUCUUGUUGACGGCUUCAACUUGCCCAUGUCCGUGGCUCCACAAGGCGGCACCGGAGAGUGUAAGGCCUCAACUUGCCCUGCCGAUAUUAACAAAGUGUGCCCGGCUGAGUUACAAGUGAAGGGAUCUGAUGGAAGCGUAAUUGCGUGCAAGAGCGCUUGCUUAGCAUUAAACCAGCCACAAUACUGUUGCACUCCCCCUAACGACAAGCCGGAGACAUGCCCUCCCACUGACUACUCUAAGCUCUUCAAGACCCAGUGCCCUCAAGCUUAUAGCUAUGCUUAUGAUGACAAGAGCAGCACCUUCACAUGCAGUGGUAGACCUGACUACCUCAUCACAUUCUGCCCAUAAGCAUACAUAUAUAUAUAAUGGGAUCUUAUAUGUUAUGACAUUAUACAUAUAGUUCCCAAUAACAGAGAAGAAUAAAUAAAUUUCCUGGAUCUUGACACAUUGUUGAUGUCAAGAAUUUGUAAUGCAGACGAUCAAAUAAAGGUAUAAAUGUUUGGAUUUUAUUUUCAUUCAUUUCCUUAUACGUGCAUUAUUUCCAGCAACAAAGCAUGAGAAUAAUAUAAAGAGAGUUAGCUGCAAACUGAAAUGGUUAUCAAACGGGAGUUUAAAUACGGAUUGUAAUUUUCUGUCAUGGCUGGUAAGGAAUAAGCAUGGCCAUUUACGAAACUAUAAUAUGAACAACACUGAGAAACACAAGUAUGGCCAUUUCAAACAGACUACAAAUGACUUCGUAUUCCAACAAUGAAUCAACAGCACCCAUGGCCAUAUGCGUUUGCAGCAUCUGAAGGUAGAUCAUCUAAUUAAUGUUAGAAGGAUAAUAGUUUCUAAAGUUCUUUAUUAAAAAAUCAAUAGACAACCACCAUGACUGUUUUGGGAAAUUAGAGACAAAUUUUGUCUUGGAGAAGAUGAUCACUUCUCAAUGCUUGACGGCUACAUAAUGCUAAAAUAUGAAUAUGGUUUGAAUACUUUAUUUUAGGUUAGUUGUAUUCUUCUUCAUAAAGAAGUAUAUAUAGGAGUUUGUUUUACAAGGAAAUAGAUACAGUAAAUCACCAUGGUAUACAAGGUGAUCACUUAGAGACAAAAAUUGAAAUGGUUCCCAAAGCCUUCCCUUAGCAAGCAGGUACCAUUGCAAGAAUGGUUCCAUAGUCAAUAAUGACAAGACCCGCAAGGAUGAUCUCGAAUUUAUAUGCAUGUUUUAAUUUCAUGGGCCUGUUGUUCUUCUACUACAGUAAUUAGAAUUUGUUUACAAGUGUGAAUUUUCCCAGAGCAAUUUCAGGGACCGACUUGACUUUCACCAUGCGGCCUCAGGAAGUGCAAAUGAACCCCGCACAAGACUUUUAGAGGGAGCUCUUUGGACGUGGACUUGUUAAAACAUGAAAGGUUUUUGUGUUGAUUUUUCUGAAUCAUACAAUCCGUUAAUAUACAAAUUUAUAUACACGGAGACUACUAAAGAAUGUAAAACUUUAAGAUCAUACAAACUACAAGUACUUGUUGAGAGUAUUUAGUCCAUGUUUUUUUUUUUUUAAUCCAGACAUUCAUUUUGUAUUUUAUUUUUUUUAUCGUUUAUCGAACUCAUAUAAACAUGAUAUAUAAAGCAAAAAGUAGAGAGAGAAUAGUAAAACAUUCAAAAAAGCAAAAAUUGUCCUUGCUUCAUAAUUUUAUUUCUUUGUUGGAAUGAAUUUAUUACGCAUUAAUUAAACUUUUCAUUAAAUAAGCAUAAUAUAGUAAAUUAAUAUAUAUAUAUUUUUUAAAAUGGGGACCUAUUUUCAUGAGAUACUUCUUCUUCUUCUUUUUUUUUUUUUUUGUUAGAUUCUCUUUCUUAAUUCUUAAAUUCAAAAAAUGAAAAUAAAAAACCAAUUGGCACCAAGGUAGUAUAUGUGAAACAUCGUCGGAAAUUUAAUUGUUUUUUAUUGAAAUGUUCAUAAAAACAAACUAACAAAAUAUAUACAUACAUUAGAAAAAAAAAAAUUUGUUUCAAAAUAAAUGCACAGUGCCCAAGGAAUCUCCUUAUGUAACUUAUGUCUCUUCAAAACUGUAAAAAAAAAAAUCCGCUAUAGCAAUACUCACAAGUGGAUAAUUGUAAUCCGGGUUCGAAUUCCGGCAGUAGAAUUCUUUUUAAGUUAGAUGUAAAUGUGAUCCAUUUUAUAUCAGUUAUAAUAGUUGUCGUAAUGAGCUUCUUUUUAAGUCUCUGUUUAUAUAGCAGCUUCUUCCCUAACUUGAGUAGAAUCCAAUUUGCGGCUAAGAUCACUUAAGAUGCAAGACUUUUAGUCACAAAGUAAAUAUUCCUAUUUCAGUCCUUGUCAAAACUUUGGCAAAAAAAAAAAGAAAAAUGAUUCCUAUCAAAACAUAGAGCAUCCACAAUGGGAGGGUGUAUAUGAGGGUGUAUGUUAAAUAUACAUCCCUUGUCACCGGAAUCAUCUGCAAUGGGGAGAUGAAAAGGGUUGUAAAUAUACAUCACCACCAUGGAGAUGUAAAAAAAUGUACAUUUACAUCUAUUUUUACAUCUUUUGCAAGUGGGACCCACCCGAAAAAAGAGAAGAAAAAUGAAGAAAAGUCAGCAUAAAAGGCUGGGACCCGCGGCUACAGUAAUUGCUAGAAAAAAAAAAUCACAUGUUGUUUGCUUAUUUGUGGUUUUCAUGCUCCCCCAAUGUUUUUGGAUGAUCAUAUCUUCUCCGAAUUUCAAUAUUUUUAGGGCUAUUUGUUUGAAAAAUUAAAAUUAACCUCAUACAAAAAAAAAUUAAUUUUAUAAAGUAAACACAAAAUACAAAUUUAACACAAAAACGAAUUAAGAAAAAUAAAACAAUUACACAUCUUAGAUUUACAUCUUCUCCUAUUGGAGCCAAAAACGUAUUUACAUCCCCUGGAGGUGUAAAGGGGAUGUAAAAGUGGCUUUACACCCCCGAAUUUACGCCCCUUACUGUGGAUGCUCUCAGUGCAUAUGAUGUACAGAUAAUUCACCAAAAAAAAAAAAAAAGGAAAUUAGUAUUGACAGUAUUCCACAUGGGAAGAUGGAAACGUUGUAAUAUAGUGCUUAAACUUCUCCACCUAUUGUCAAUUAUUUUUACGUUGAAUGCUGAUAUCUUAAAGAUAACGCUACUCAAUCAGGUUCUUAUUUGACUCUCAACAUUGAAAAAUGCAUUACAAACUAAAGUUCAUUUUAUCGUGGAAUAUAUAUAUUUUUUCAUGGACCCUGAAAUUUAGAAAACAAUUAAAAAGGCAAAAAAGAAAAAGAAAAAUAGGCAAUUUAGGGUCCUUUCAGUAAUGUUUUCGGAGAAUAUAUUCAGAAAAUGAAAAUGAGAAAACGAAUAUACAUUUUCAAGAUUCGAGAAUGCAUAUGGUAGACUAAGUAAAUAUUUUUCGAGAACGAAAACAGUAAAAACGUGUCUAAUACGAACAUAUGAAAAUGACAAAAAUACUGAAUUGGCAACAGUAUUAUAAAAAUUAUUUUCAACAUCAUAAAUCAAAUAUUGUGUGUAGCACAUAUCUUAUCAGACUUACUAAUAGGCCAAAAAAUUUCUUAAAAAUUGUGCAAUGGUCUAAUUAAUUAUCAUUAUCCAAUACAUGCUAGAUAACCCAAAAUGGGCUCAUGUCCUCCAAGAUAUCAUCCUACAUCAUAGAUCAAAUCUCUUAUAGUCUCACAAAUAUUUGAAAAAUAUGCAAAAUAAAAUUUAAAAUCAUGUUGUCAUGAGCACUAAAUAAAACCCCACCAUAAAUUUGCUGCGAUAUAUUGUCUCUAAUGUCGCCUAUUUGUGCAAUAUUUCCUUUUGACAUAUCUAUAUUCGGUGGUAUUGUAUUUUUUGAGUCAAUGAUCAUGUCUUCAACUUGGAACUCUUCGAUCAUCCUAUCACGACCAACUUCUUUUCUUAUAAAAUUAUGCAACACACAACAUACAAUAGGAACUCAUUGUUGCCUUCUCGGAGGAUAAUUAGGCAUCAAUUUCAAAAUUAGAAAAAGAGCUUUCAAAACACCAAAACAUCGCUCAAUUACAUUACAUAAUGAGGAGUGCCUAUAGCUCAACAAUUCCAUAGGACCUCUUGGUGUUUGUCGAGGUCCUCUAUCAUCACGCAAAUGAUAUCUCUCACCUCGAUAGGGUGCCAAGAAUUCAGGCACUUUUGAAUAUCCAACAUCCACAACAAUACCCUGUAAUUGUAAUUUAUUACUUGCAAGACACAAAUAAUGUACAUAAUAAUAUUAAUUGUAAUCUUAUGUUUAUACCUUCUUCUGGAAAAGGAAACUCUCAUUUUCUGGCCUUAUCACUGCAUCUAUGAACACCCUAGAGUCAUUUGCAGUUCCUUCCCAGCCCGUAUAAACAAAAGUGAACAUCAUGUCCAAAGAGCAAGCACACAUGGCCUUUUGAGUAAUAAGAAUCUUCCUACCAUGAUAUGAGGUUUGCUUUUGAGUUGGUGCCUAAGCAACAACAUGAGUUCCAUCAAUUGCACUAACACACUUCUGCGAUAAAUUCAUAUAUUUACAAACUAUAAAGUAAAUAUAAUUUAAAAUAUAUAAUUAUAAUAAUAAAAUAAAUAAAAUUAACAAUUGAUUUCUCACCUCAAAAUAAGGAUAAUACUUUAGGUUAUUCAAAAUUUCAGAAGGUGUUUCCUCUCGACUUUGUGGCCUUAUAAUACGUGGUGCUAAAGCACAUAAAGCUCCCAAAACACACUAAAAUUGUCUAUGAAUUGUGUCUUUAGAUCGUUGGAAAUGAUCAACAGCCAGUCACAUGCAGAUAUUAUGAGACACUAUAAAUAUGAAAAUUGCCAUUGCCUUAUAAGUACCCACAUUUCUAUCAUUCUGUGGCAAAUUUAAACUCUCAAGUGUGUAACGCAACCUUUGGAAUACAUGUUUGUACAUGUGAAACGAGUCUUAAAUCCUAUCUGCUGGAUGCCCAUUCAAACAUAUUCAUGCUCGGAUAAAACAGAAUUAUGACAUGGAGUUCUAUGUACAUAUGAUUGCCAAUAUUCAUAAAUAUGCAUACAAAUUAUCAUAUGAUGCACCAUUUCCUUCGGAUCUGAAUCACUAUCGGAGUGAUUGUCUUCAUUCCUUAUAGACAUGUCUAGUACCUUCAAGUAUUCAAAUUCAAUAAAGAAUUAUGCAUACAAAUUAAAGUCACAAAAAUCUAAAAUAUGCAUACAAAUUAAAGUCACAAACAUCAAACAGAAUAAGAAGAACAAUUCAUUAGUAUUCUCUCAACAAUAAACAUAAGUAGCAAUCCUAAAGACUAGCCAACCAAACUCUCCUCCUUUCUUCUGGCAUUAUAACAAAGAUUUUCCUCCAUUCAACAAUCACUAUCUUUUCUAGCAUCUUGUCGAUGUAUUGUUAUCAAUAUCUCCCAUUGUCUCAACAAUUCCUAUGCAUUCUUCAAUCGAAUACAUUUCCUUAGAGGUGCUAGAUGCCUCAAGCAAUGGCCACAGCAGCAAGCAACAACAGCAACAAUAGAAGCUACUCUGCCAUCUUCUGCCGCUUCCAUCUGUCUAGCCGUCAUGUCACGACGACAACCCGCAAACAAAAAGAAAAAGAAAAAGGCCACGCUAGCCGCCGCUACCAUCGAUACCGAUCAUGACAACAACUAACCGGGCCCACCUAGUUGGUACUCAUGUCGAAGAAGAAAAGAAGAAGAAAAAAAAAUCAAAUUCGAUUUACCUUGGGGUGUACGGCAACUCCUCUCUUCAACAAGCAGUACAAUUCUCCAAGAUCUCUCUCAAACUAGAAAGCAAAGAAGACAAGUUUUCAAUUUGAAGAAGAGCGAAAAGAAGCUUUGUAUUUAUAAAGAUUGGGCAUCCUAGGUCAAGAAGGAAGCACGAGUUCAUUUCCAUUAGGAGCUCAACUCAAGAAAAAGUCAAAAGCCUACUCCAAUUAGGAGCCCAAUUGGCAAAAGGAUUCCAACUCAAAGAAGAAAGCCCAAAUGCAGUUGGAAAGCCCGAAAAGUAUUUCUCACCUCCUCUACACCUCACAAGCGCCAUGCAAAAGUUGGGGGACAUUUGUGGGAGAAAAUAAUCAAGUUUCCAAUCAUAAGGUGCCACAUGGACAAGAAGAAUAUCUCCUAUGUCAAUUAAUUGAGCCCAUUUAUUUGGCUAAUUAGUUGAUCUAAAAAUAGGGAUAUUAUCUUAAAUAUGGGAUAUUAUCUUUAUUUGGGAAUAUAAUUACCAAUUAAAAGAUAAUAUCAUCAAUUUAGGAUAUUAUCUUAAUUGGGAUAUAUUAUCAUCAAUCAAUGAUUUAAUCCCAAUCAAAUUCUUAAUUGACUUAAUCUCUCCAUUUAGGGGAAAAAAUAUCUUCCUUCCAAAUAAGAAGAUAUUCUUUGAAAAUCUCUCCAUUUAGGUAAUUCCGAAACCUAGCAAGAAUUCACCAAAACCUCUCUCUCUCUCGCCGACGGCCUCUCUCACUCUUAUCUCUCUCACACGGCCAAGUGCCACCACACACGGUUCUGGCCCCCUGACUCUCCCCCGGAGAGAAAGCUCUGUACCUUUUUAGUUAUUGCCACAUAUUUUCUCAAAGAUCCAAUCGAACUAACUUAGGCAUCCGAGGGACUUUGGCCAACAACUUCCGGAUAUAGUUUUUUACUCAUGUUUGUUUCGUAGGAACGAGGAAGAGAGAGAAGAAAGCUCAAAAGGUGAAGGAUCUACAUGCGAAUACUCUUCCUUGAGAAAUUUGCAUAAACAGAAGAAGUGUGACAUAUUCUUAAUUCAAAAAUAUCCAUCCGAAACAAGGAAAAAAUUGUAAAACUAAACUUAUGAAAUUAUACCUCUAUUCUGGUCAGCAUGAAUGGAUAUGUCCAAACAAAUUUUAAUCCAAAAAGAAAAAUCAGAGGUGAAGGUUUAGGGUUUCACAAACAGAUCUACUAAGUAAAACGAAUUAACAUAUGAUAUGGGCAAAAUAAAGAAAUGAGACCAAGAUAAAACUUCUAGAAACGUGACAAAUUGUCCUUUGAAGUAAUUUUACGUAAGCAUAACAAUUCGAAAUAAAAGAUAAACAAAUAAAAAAUCCUAUGAAUGUGGAUGGGACGAGGAAAAUUGAAGCUGACAAUAAAGGUUACUUGGGAUAUAUCCAAAGAAAAAAAAAGAAGAGAAAUACUACUUUUCCUUCCUUGUUUUACUUUUCUCCCUCAUUAAUUGUACUUAGCUUUAGCUCCAUGCAUCUUCUCCUCCUUCACAGCAGCCUAGGCCAUCAAUCACGCUAUGAAAAUGGUUACGUGGCGCACGCCUGGUUGUGUAUGGACUGUUUUUCAAAAUCACGAGUGUUCUUAAUCAACGUUUUAAUUUGAUAUGGUUGGCAAUUUUCCAAUUCUCCCAGUCUUGCUACUUUGACUAAAUUAAUAUCUACUUGUUUUUUUAUGUUUGCAAGUAAUAUGUACUCGUGCCAGUAUUCAAAGUACCUGCUAUUACAAAUAAACCAAUGUAAACAGGGACUAAGCGUUUAUGGCCCGUUUCCUAGUAUUGAUGACCUAUCAUCUAAUGUUUGGGUUUAAUCCAAAUCUCUCUAGAAGUUUUUUUUAUUUUUUUUUUAUUUUUUUAUGAGGGUUCAAAUGUGACACCACUUGUCUACAAGUUAAGGUCAUUUUCUAUUGCGCUAGAGACUCUAUUGGCCUCUAAAAAAUCUUUUAGUUACUUCUUUAUUAAUGUAUACACGUGACUAGAGACCAUCUAAUAGUUAUCACAUUUUCCAUUUACAUGUGUGUCUGUGACUAAGCUAACAAUUGUAACUAUAUAUGUUUAUCCAAUUGAUCACUUUUUCUACACUUAUCUACAUGUGUGUCUGGCCUAUAUGAUGACUUUAAUUUUUCUGGAUUGAAUUUGAAUUUUCUGUAAUAUAAAUUUUUUGGGAUAAUGUGGGGACUUCAUUGCAGGUCAAUGACGUUAUCUAGGACCAAAUAUUACGAGUAAUUUAUUAGUUUCCCCAGGGUCCUGUUUACGUGUUACCAUGGCAGCUUAGACCCGUAAUCAAAAUAGCAAGAAAAGAUCAAAAGUUAGGCACGCUACAAGCCCUAUAUAAAGCACCCCCUGGCACCCAAGUUUAUCAUCAUCCUUCUCACCAAAUUACAAGUUAAUUAAGUUUAUCAGCAAGAGCAACAGCAAGCCAAUUAAGACAUUUCCAUGACGAUGAUGAAGAGCCAAGCAGCUCUCCUCGGCCUCACCACCUUGGCCAUCCUCUUCUUCUCAGGUAUAAUAUUAUACAAACUUUGUUAGGUGAUCAGAUAUCGAUCAAAAAGUUUAUUUUUACAAUUGUCUCUGUAAUCUUUAGUCUUAUGAUCAUGGUUUAAUGUACUUUGAAUAUGCAGGUGCACAUGCAGCUAAAAUCACUUUCACAAACAAAUGUUCCUACACUGUCUGGCCAGGAACCCUAACCGGUGACCAAAAACCUCAAUUAUCACUCACCGGGUUCAAGUUAGCAACCGGAAUUAGCCGCUCUGUGGACGCACCGUCCCCAUGGUCCGGUCGCUUCUUUGGCCGAACCAGGUGCUCCACGGACGCGUCAGGAAAGUUCACUUGUGCCACAGCAGAUUGUGGUUCUGGCCAAGUCUCAUGCAACGGUAACGGCGCAGCUCCGCCCGCUACAUUAGUAGAAAUCACUAUUGCUUCGAACGGGGGUCAAGACUUCUACGACGUUAGUCUUGUUGACGGCUUCAACUUGCCCAUGUCCGUGGCUCCACAAGGCGGCACCGGCAAGUGUAAGGCCUCAACUUGCCCUGCCGAUAUUAACAAAGUGUGCCCGGCUCCGUUACAAGUGAAGGGAUCUGAUGGAAGCGUAAUUGCGUGCAAGAGCGCUUGCUUAGCAUUCAACCAGCCAAAAUACUGUUGCACUCCACCUAACGACAAGCCGGAGACAUGCCCUCCCACUGAUUACUCUAAGCUCUUCAAGACCCAGUGCCCUCAAGCUUAUAGCUAUGCUUAUGAUGACAAGAGCAGCACCUUCACAUGCAGUGGUAGACCUGACUACCUCAUCACAUUCUGCCCAUAAGCAUAUAUAUAUAUAUAGAAUGGGAUCUUAUAUGAUAUGAUAUUAUACAUAUAGUUCCCAAUAAAUAAAUUUCCUGGAUCUUGACACAUUGUUGAUGUCAAGAAUUUGUAAUGCAGACGAUCAAAUAAAGGAAUAAAUGUUUGGAUUUUAUUUUC
rnacentral:lncRNA from 1 species